AGCGAACGUCUGCGGCGGGCCUAACACAUGCAAGUCGAACGCACUAGCAAUAGUGAGUGGCGCACGGGUGCGUAACACGUGGGUAAUCAACCCUUCAGCCUGGGAUAACGACUCGAAAGGGUCGCUAAUACCGGAUACGGCGCGAGAGGCUUCGGCUUCUCACGAGAAAGCCACGCAAGGGGCACUGAAGGACGAGCCUGCGGCCCAUCAGCUAGUUGGUGAGGUAAGAGCUCACCAAGGCUAAGACGGGUAGCUGGUCUGAGAGGAUGAUCAGCCACACUGGAACUGAGACACGGUCCAGACUCCUACGGGAGGCAGCAGUGGGGAAUAUUGCGCAAUGGGCGAAAGCCUGACGCAGCCACGCCGCGUGAGCGAUGAAGGCCUUCGGGUCGUAAAGCUCUGUGGGGAGAGACGAAGAAAGCCUGUGAAGAGCAGGCCUUGACGGUAUCUCCUUAGCAAGCACCGGCUAACUCCGUG
rnacentral:rRNA from 1 species